AUACACUGACAUAUUGUAACUGACGUAUUGUGUUCUGCAAGAGACAAAAAUGAAACUGUGUUUUUUUAUGUAUUCACAGAAAGACAGAUAGAUAGACAGACAGACAGACGCUUUAAGCAGCAUGCAAAAUUAGAUUGGGUUGUUAAUACAGACGAGGAACGGUGUCACUCACUGAGAGAUGUUCAAUGGUCCAUCCUACCACAUACAUUCUGUAAGGCCUCUGGGGAGCAAUUCAAACCAAGUUCGUCCCAUGUCCCCCCUGUGGACAUCUGACGAAGGUUACCAUCCCUGACAGUCCAGUAGAGGAGUGGAUGAGCCAGCUCAAACCACGCCGAGUAAUACAGGGGCUGAUGGACAUUUUAGAGGCAUCGCCAGAUCUUGAGGCUUGUAGCGUUUGCAAAGAAGAUGGGGAGAAAACUCCAGGAACAAUGUACUGCACCAUUUGUGAUGAUGUCUUCUGUGAUGGAUGUCUCAAGAUGCACAAGAAGAUGCCGCUGUUGCGUGAUCA
rnacentral:misc_RNA from 1 species